rnacentral:rRNA from 1 species
UACGAGAGGCCCAAACGUUAUUCGGAUUUACUGGGCUUAAAGAGUUCGUAGGCGGCGCAGAAAGUAGGGUGUGAAAGCCCUCGGCUCAACCGAGGAAUAGCGCUCUAAACUACUGUGCUUGAGGAACCUAGAGGUGAGCAGAACUGAUGGUGGAGCGGUGAAAUGCGUUGAUAUCAUCAGGAAUACCGGAGGCGAAGGCGGCUCACUGGGGGUUAUCUGACGCUGAGGAACGAAAGCCAGGGGAGCGAAC